ACCAAUCUUCGGGGAGAGGCGCAAUUCCUCAACCGGCGGUGAGAGCCCGCGACUCUGCCAGAGAACGUUGGCAGACUGAUCUGGUAAGAUUCCAGAGCCGAUGGUAUAGUCCAGAUGGAAGAAGAUUAAA
rnacentral:ncRNA from 2 species